rnacentral:rRNA from 1 species
GACGAACGCUGGCGGCGCGCUUAACACAUGCAAGUCGAACGGAAAGGCCUGCUUUCCCUUGUGGAUUGCGGGUACUCGAGUGGCGAACGGGUGAGUAACACGUGAGUGAUCUGCCCCCAACUUGGGUAUAAGCCUGGGAAACUGGGUCUAAUUCCCGAUAGGACUGCAGGGUGGUGCCUGUGGUGGAAAACGAUUUUCUAGUGGUUGGGGAUGAGCUCGCGGCCUAUCAGCUUGUUGGUGGGGUAAUGGCCUACCAAGGCGGCGACGGGUAGCCGGCCUGAGAGGGUGGACGGUCACAUUGGGACUGAGAUACGGCCCAGACUCCUACGGGAGGCAGCAGUGGGGGAUAUUGCACAAUGAGCGGAAGCCUGAUGCAGCGACGCCGCGUGGGGGAUGACGGCCUUCGGGUUGUAAACUCCUUUCGACCGCGAGGAAGCCACCUGGUUGGAAGGGUGGUGACGGUAGUGGUAGAAGAAGCACCGGCUAACUACGUG